rnacentral:rRNA from 1 species
UACGAAGGGGGGCUAGCGUUGCUCGGAAUGACUGGGCGUAAAGGGCGCGUAGGCGGAUGGCACAGUCAGAUGUGAAAUUCCCGGGCUUAACCUGGGGGGCUGCAUUUUGAUACGUGUGAUCUAGAGUGAGGAAGAGGGUCGUGGAAUUCCCAGUGUAGAGGUGAAAUUCGUAGAUAUUGGGAAGAACACCGGUGGCGAAGGCGGCGACCUGGUCCUUGACUGACGCUGAGGCGCGAAAGCGUGGGGAGCAAACAGG